rnacentral:rRNA from 1 species
AGAGUUUGAUUCUGGCUCAGGAUGAACGCUGGCGGCGUGCCUAAUACAUGCAAGUCGAGCGAACCACUUCGGUGGGAAGCGGCGAACGGGUGAGUAACACGUAGGUGAUCUGCCCAUCAGACGGGGACAACGAUUGGAAACGAUCGCUAAUACCGGAUAGGACGAAAGUUUAAAGAUGCUCCUGGCAUCACUGAUGGAUGAGCCUGCGGCGCAUUAGCUAGUUGGUGGGGUAAAGGCCUACCAAGGCGACGAUGCGUAGCCGACCUGAGAGGGUGAACGGCCACACUGGGACUGAGACACGGCCCAGACUCCUACGGGAGGCAGCAGUAGGGAAUCUUCGGCAAUGGGCGAAAGCCUGACCGAGCAACGCCGCGUGAAUGAAGAAGGCCUUCGGGUUGUAAAAUUCUGUUAUAAGGGAAGAAAGGUGAUAGGAGGAAAUGACUAUCAAUUGACGGUACCUUAUGAGAAAGCCACGGCUAACUACGUGCCAGCAGCCGCGGUAAUACGUAGGUGGCAAGCGUUAUCCGGAAUUAUUGGGCGUAAAGAGCGCGCAGGUGGUUAAUUAAGUCUGAUGUGAAAGCCCACGGCUUAACCGUGGAGGGUCAUUGGAAACUGGUUGACUUGAGUGC